ACAAUCAAAGUUCCUAUAUUAUAGCUACUUUCUUAUAUACAGCUAAAAAUAUAUUUGAAGUCUGUAGUGGAAAAGCGUCUGGUUGAAAGAGAGUGUGAUGUUUCCCAGCACAAAAAGAACGUGCAUAGGGAAUUGUGGGAUGUUAUGAUGGCCAUGUUAAUGUUAGAGUGGGUGUAUAGGUAUUUUAUUUAUAUGACAGAGUGAGAUAGUGCCAUUUAACGAAAACGAAAGAUGACUAAGAUGUCAAGUUGUGACAACUUAAGAAUUGGUAUAAUAAGCUCUUGUGAAAUAUUGGUGGAUAGAGGGUGUGUUCGGUUAGACCAUAUGAUCGACAGGUAUAGGUAUAUAUCAUGAAUGUAUUUAGAUUUUAUAUUGUGUAGAUGGAUUGUAUUGUUGUUGAUUUUGAAUUCUUUGGUGAGAUGAAUGUUGUUUAUAUGUGUAGUAAUGAAACAUUUAUAGAAUUUUAAUUUGGGGCAAUUCAGAAAUAAAUGAUGGUAAGAUUCAGUUGCUCGGUUACAAU